CCUUAGGUGACUUCACAGGGUAGUGAUGACCUCACAAGCUUCCAAAGUUUCCAUGGCAGCGUGACUACACACCUGCGUCCUAGAGAAGCCUCCCUACCAUUUCUCUGUAAGAUACCAAUCUGUUUGGUUGGCUGAGAGAGAAUGACUGACCGGAUCCUCUAUAUUGUCUCUAACAUGUCCUCUGUCCCCUGGGAGGGCAGCGCAGCAGCUGCAGUGCCUGCCACUUCUCCUCCCACACCUGGGCACUACCAUGUUCUCUACCGAGGGUGUGGAGAAACUCAGGUAGGCUGGCAUGGGGAGACGUACUGCCUGGUUGGUGGCUACCGGGUCCAUGGGGAUGCUCCUUUGGCCACCCCAACAAAGGCUGAAGCAGAGAAGCCAGCCCCCAGGCGUGCUCCCAAGAGACGUCAAGCUACGAUAGAGUCAGAUAAAGACCUGGGUUGCUCUAGCCCCAAAAUUCGGCGCUUGGAGCAUCGUGGCAGGAGACUGACCCCACAGAAGCUUGCUGGCUGAGCCAUUUGGGAGAAAGGACAAAUGUUUAGCUGUCUAAGACAGCUAAUGCCUCUUCUGCGGUGACCUCCCCUGCCCACCACUGCAGAUAGAGCCUGAGUCAUUCUGCCUAUGCCUUCCUCAUCCAGAAGCCCCCUUCCAUGCUAACUACCCAUGGCCAAGGAGCCUCAGAAACUGUGGUUUAAAAUGAGAGGUUGCUUUGAACAUCCCAAGGCUGAAGACGGCCUGGAAGAAAACCUGAUGUUCCUCUACUCAUCUCUCCAGAGUCCCUUUUUGGGCAGAAGAUAGAAAUAGUCUGCACUCUGCUAGCCGAGGAGUCAAGUGCAGAGAGGGAGUGCAGCAUAGCCCAGUAAGGGCUUGAUCUACCAGAUGGGUCUUUGCUUUGAGUCACUGCCAGCAACUACCAGCACAAACCAGGAGGGCCAGGACUUGCUGAAACUGGAAGCAGCAGCCCAUGGCUAGUCACAGCAGGAGAAAGCCUCCUGCUUGGCAUCUCAGGAGGUAGAAGAAAGAGACCUGGGGAGACCUGCCACCUACAGCAAGAACAAUAAGGAGGAAGUUGAGCAACAUCCCCCUGAAGCUCACAUGUUACUUUAUUUCCUGCCCAUUAUGGCCCCAGUGAGGUCCCUACUGCUCAAUUUAAAAAAAAAUUAAAAAAAUUAUUUUUCCAUAACA
rnacentral:lncRNA from 1 species